rnacentral:lncRNA from 1 species
GGAAUAGAAAUUAAAUAACAUCUCUUGGUUGAAAUAUAUGUGAUAUAUAUAAAUAAUAUUAUUUUAUAUAUUAGAUGUAUAUAAAAUGUAAUAUUAAUAAAAGCUUGUUAGUAAAUCUAAUUUUGAAUUGGAUUAUUAAUUGAAGUUUUAUCCUAUUUGGAAUGGGAUUAAUAUUUUCAAUAGGAAAAUAUUAUAUUAAUAAAGAAAAAAAAAAUCAAAUUUGAAUCCCAUUUGGAAUUGGACUCAAAAAGUUCAAAGAGAGAAAAAUUGUCAGAUUCUCAUGUUAUAAAAAGAAGGAAAAAGGAAAAAGUAAAGAAGAAAAAAAAAAGUUUCGUUCCUUAACAGAAAAAGGAAAUUUCGAAUUUCCUUACAAAAUUUUCCAGAGAAAGAAAUUUGGAAUUUCAUACAAAAUUUUUCCAUAAGUUUAUUUUUGGAAUAAAUUUUUACCCUAGGAAAAUUAUUACCUCAACCAAAUAGGAAAAGGGUUUGUAGGUGAUGCUAUAUAAAGCGUGAUGGAGAAAAUUUGCAAAGUUCUUUUUUUUCGAUUUUAAUCUUUUUCAUAGAUGAUGCUAUAUAAAGGGUGAUGGAGAAAAUUUGCAAGAGUUUUUUUUUCGGUUUUAGUCUUUAAUAACCCUACUUUGUGAAAGUGAGGGUGCAAUACAAACCAAGAGAGAAAAUACAAUUGCAAGAAAAGUAUUUCUUGUUCUUCUAAUUUGAGUUGAGAUUUNNN